rnacentral:rRNA from 1 species
UACAGAGGGUGCGAGCGUUAAUCGGAAUUACUGGGCGUAAAGCGUGCGUAGACGGCUAUCUAAGUCGGGUGUGAAAGCCCCGGGCUCAACCUGGGAAUUGCAUUCGAGACUGAAUAGCUAGGGUGCGGUAGAGGGAAGCGGAAUUUCCGGUGUAGCGGUGAAAUGCGUAGAUAUCGGGAGGAACACCUGUGGCGAAAGCGGCGCGCUGGACCAUAACUGACGCUGAGGCGCGAAAGCUAGGGGAGCAAACAGG